rnacentral:rRNA from 1 species
AUUGAACGCUGGCGGCAGGCUUAACACAUGCAAGUCGAGCGGGGGAAGUUGCUUCGGUAAUUGACCUAGCGGCGGACGGGUGUGUAAUACUUAGGAAUCUGCCUAUUAAUGGGGGACAACAUCUCGAAAGGGAUGCUAAUACCGCAUACGCCCUACGGGGGAAAGCAGGGGAUCACUUGUGACCUUGCGUUAAUAGAUGAGGCUAAGUCGGAUUAGCUAGUUGGUGGGGUAAAGGCCUACCAAGGCGACGAUCUGUAGCGGGUCUGAGAGGAUGAUCCGCCACACUGGGACUGAGACACGGCCCAGACUCCUACGGGAGGCAGCAGUGGGGAAUAUUGGACAAUGGGGGGAACCCUGAUCCAGCCAUGCCGCGUGUGUGAAGAAGGCCUUAUGGUUGUAAAGCACUUUAAGCGAGGAGGAGGCUCUUUUGGUUAAUACCCAAGAUGAGUGGACGUUACUCGCAGAAUAAGCACCGGCUAACUCUGUGCCAGCAGCCGCGGUAA